CCGGUCCAGUUCCAAAUUUCCGCUGGAAAACUGGAAUACUGGUUUGGAAAGCCCAAUGCAUCCCAACUCAAGUGUUUGGGUACUGCUCUUUUUCCAGCCCAACCCAAUUCCCACAGUGACAAGCAAAGCUCUCUCCUCUCCUACCACAUCAAAGGCUUUUGAUCUGACCUGCCUUCGGGGUUACUGAGAAAUAUGAGAGUUGCAAUGGUAGCCAUCAGGUUGGUGGUCCUCCUGUGUUCAUAUAAGAAUGAAGGCUUGGUGCUUUGACUGAGUGAAGGAAGG
rnacentral:lncRNA from 1 species